rnacentral:snRNA from 1 species
AUACUUACCUGGCAGGGAGAUACCAUGAUCACAAAGGUGGUUUUCCCAGGGUGAGGCUCAUCCAUUGCACUGCGGGUGUGCUGACCCCUGCGAUUUCCCCAAAUGCGGGAAACUCGACUGCAUAAUUUGUGGUAGUGGGGGACUGCGUUCGCGCUCUCCCCUG